AUGAUAUCGUUCGCAAGAGACGAAUCAAUAAUUGGUUUCGAGAGGAAACCUGGCACCGCGGCGAGCCUGAGUUGCGGCCGGAGAACGACCGAGAGGCAGUUCCACGGCUACGUGCUUUUUGCUACGGUCCAUGGCGGUCACUCCCCUGUUACGCCCGAAGACGUGCUGCGUGUCAUCAAAGAGCGAUGCGGAAGGGUGCAAGGUACAGUGAGAAUUGAGCGAGCCUAUCCACCUUAUCAUUUUUUUAUGAAGUUUUCCUCUGAUGAUUUCUGCACGGAGGUUUUACUUCUAUCACGGGAACUGUUGUGUGGCUCUGCCUACAUCUCUUUCUGCCGCUGGAAUUAUGGUGCCCGGUGUUCAUAUGGCCAGCUUGAGUAUCGAACAAACCUUAGUUUUGAAGGUCUACCAGAAACUGCCUGGGAACCGGAAGCAAUGAGGUUGAUUGUUGCAGGUCUGAGAGGCGAGCUCAUUGAUAUAUUGCCGUCCGAAGAUCGGUGGGUAAUUGAAGUAGCUGCAUGGCUUGCCAAUCCUAACAAGGUACCUAAACUCAGUAGAAGUAGAGGUGCCGACACCACCUCUGCCGCCUUAGAAGCCAGAUUCUGA
rnacentral:rRNA from 1 species